rnacentral:misc_RNA from 1 species
GAUGAAGAACGUAGCGAAAUGCGAUAAGUAGUGUGAAUUGCAGAAUUCAGUGAAUCAUCGAAUCUUUGAACGCACAUUGCGCCCCUUGGUAUUCCGAGGGGCAUGCCUGUUCGAGCGUCAUUACACCACUCAAGCUAUGCUUGGUAUUGGGCGUCGUCCUUAGUUGGGCGCGCCUUAAAGACCUCGGCGAGGCCACUCCGGCUUUAGGCGUAGUAGAAUUUAUUCGAACGUCUGUCAAAGGAGAGGAACUCUGCCGACUGAAACCUUUAUUUUUCUAGGUUGACCUAGGAUCAGGUAGGGAUACCCGCUGAACUUAAGCAUAUCAAUAAGCGGAGGA